rnacentral:rRNA from 1 species
GAUGAACGCUGGCGGCGUGCCUAAUACAUGCAAGUCGAGCGAACGGACGAGAAGCUUGCUUCUCUGAUGUUAGCGGCGGACGGGUGAGUAACACGUGGAUAACCUACCUAUAAGACUGGGAUAACUUCGGGAAACCGGAGCUAACACCGGAUGAUAUUUUGAACCGCAUGGUUCAAAAGUGAAAGACGGUCUUGCUGUCACUUAUAGAUGGAUCCGCGCUGCAUUAGCUAGUUGGUAAGGUAACGGCUUACCAAGGCAACGAUGCAUAGCCGACCUGAGAGGGUGAUCGGCCACACUGGAACUGAGACACGGUCCAGACUCCUACGGGAGGCAGCAGUAGGGAAUAUUCCGCAAUGGGCGAAAGCCUGACGGAGCAACGCCGCGUGAGUGAUGAAGGUCUUCGGAUCGUAAAACUCUGUUAUUAGGGAAGAACAUAUGUGUAAGUAACUGUGCACAUCUUGACGGUACCUAAUCAGAAAGCCACGGCUAACUACGUG